GACGAACGCUGGCGGCGUGCUUAACACAUGCAAGUCGAACGGCAACGCCCUGCUUGCGUGGUGUGCUGGGGUGGCGAACGCGUGCGUAUCACGAGAGUAACCUGCCCUAGUCUUUGGGAUAACUUCAGGAAACUGGAGUUACUCUCGGAUCGGAGAUGACGUUGCAUGGUAGGGAUUGGAUAGUUUCGGCGGUCGUGGAUGGAUUAGCGGCUUACCGCCUUGUUGGUGGGGUAGUGGCUUACCCAGGCAUUGACGGGUACCCGGCCUGAGAGGGUGGCCGGCCUCAUUGGGACUAAGAGACGGCCCAGACUCCUACGUGAGGCAGCAGGGGGGAAUAUUGCACAAUGGGCCGGAGCCUGAUGCAGCAGCGCCGCGUUCGGGAUGACGGCCUUCGGGGUAAGAACCGCUGUCGCCUGAGACGAAGCGGUAGUGACGGUAAUGAGUAAAGAAGCACCGGCUAACUACGUG
rnacentral:rRNA from 1 species